UCCUACGGGAGGCAGCAGUGGGGGAUAUUGCACAAUGGGGGGAACCCUGAUGCAGCGACGCCGCGUGGGUGAAGGAGCGUUUCGGCGCGUAAAGCCCUAUCGGCAGGGAAGAAGGAGGACGGUACCUGACUAAGAAGCCCCGGCUAACUACGUGCCAGCAGCCGCGGUAAUACGUAGGGGGCAAGCGUUAUCCGGAUUUACUGGGUGUAAAGGGAGCGUAGGUGGCAGGGCAAGUCAGAUGUGAAAACCCGGGGCUCAACUCCGGGAGUGCAUUUGCAACUGUCCAGCUAGAGUGCAGGAGAGGG
rnacentral:rRNA from 1 species